GGAGAGAUGGAUGAGUGGUUUAAGUCGCACGCCUGGAAAGCGUGUGUAGGCGUCAGUCUACCGCGGGUUCGAAUCCCGCUCUCUCCGCCA
rnacentral:tRNA from 1 species